GGCUGUUUUGACUGAUUGACCAAGUAGGUCAAAGCUGUGUCGUGACUGUCAGUGGUUAAGGGAAACAGACUUAAUUCUAGAAGUUUGGACACUUUCCUGGUCAAUAUAUUCAGGUGUGCACCAGAGAAACACAAUAUAGACUGACUGGGAGAGCUGAAUCCACCUACAUGAUAAAUUGUAAGAGUAAAAGGUGGCUCAAAGCAUUGCAAGACUGAAGGACUCUGUGUUCAGCCCAUGUCUGACCACUGUGUGGAAGAAUGGAUGAUGGGGAAGGGAAUGCAGCUAAAAGAUGUGUGAAUAAAGCCAAGCUGUUAGGGCUUGAAGGUAAAGUCAUGAUUCAAAAUGAUUGUGAUCAUUAGGAAAAGUGCUCUGAAAUUCUCAGAAUGAAACUGGGCAAGUAGAAAAGCAAAGUGCUGCAAGCAUAAAGGGAAAUCAAUGUACAGCUACAAUGAGGUCCACAAAGAAAAUUCAAGGGAAAUAGCAGCAAAAACCUGGGGAUGAAGAGCUGUUGUAGAGCAAUUACAAAAAACAUCCAAAAACCAGCAAACCAAAUUCAAACAAUCAAAUCAAGAAAUUGGUUUAAACUACCUGUGAAAGCCCAUGAUUUGGAAAUUAGAAGGGUACCAGAGGGUGAAAAUCUGAAACAGCUUUCCAACAGAUGUAAGUUAAGAAGACUUACAGGGCUCAAGAUGGAAAAGGACAGGUUUUGGCAGGGAGUUACCAGAGGUGGUGGCAGGAACAUAGGUCCUGUCUGUGUGACCCAGGAGCUUCCUUGCUAAUGUCUUUCAGCUGCUUCCCUGUAAGACACAGCAGGGUGGUGCUGCUCUUGCAAGGCUUCAGCUGGAACUGCUGCCUUCAGCCUUGGGAACCCCACUUUGUGGAAGAGAGAGGAGAUGGAAAGGAGCCAGGACACAGCACCAUGAAUGAGAAGUUUGGAAAAUAACUGAGUGUGAAGAGAGGUUUGGUUGACUUGGAAUGGAGAAGACUGGGGAGCAGGCUGGGGAAAUGUGAUAGCAGUGCUGCACAGAAGAGCCACAGAGUGGGGCACCUCCAUAUCCCAUCCUGGACAACCUCAUCUGAGGAAAAGAGCAGACAUUAGGAGAAAACUGUAGAGUUCAAUUUUCAAAAUACAAGGAUAGACAAACAUUUAGAUAAGUUCCUUUAAGUGUAAGACAUCACGUGUCCAUCAGGCUGUCAAUGCUGGAAGAUCCCACAUUACCUAAUCCACCCUGAAGGCCUGGGCAGUUGAAUGCUCUGUAAGGAAUCCCUUCAGCCUGAUGCUUCUGGGAGUCAGUCUUGUCAAAAUCAGGGAGAAGCUGGGUGAUAUGCACCUGAAACCAUGACAGUGUCAAUACAAGAGAUCUCUGUGAAUUUAGAGUGAAUCUUCCACCUUCCUCUGAUCCUCACAGCUGUACCAGGUGGUAUUUUCUCAAAAUUUGUUCACACAGAGGUGCAUAGGCAGUAAAAAAAUCCAAUAUGCUCUUGGUCUCCAGUGGCAAUAACAUGGUACUUCUUUCACUAUUUUCUUUCAGACAGAGUUUGAAGAAUUAUUAUAUUAGAAAUAAUUUUCAGAGACAUAUUAACCUUAGUCCUGCUCAGUACCCCAGGGCGUCUUUUUGGUUUAGACUGAAGUCCUGAAGCAAAUUCUUUUGGAAGGGUAAUAAUUGGCACUGAAAUGAGAGAGGAAAAAGGUGAUGGGUGUGAGGAAGAGGGGACAGCAGGUGUGCCCAUGGUUUGAAUGCUCUGUCAUUGCCCUCGAUAAAUUCCAAAAUGGAGUCUAACAUCUGGAAGGAGAACAAGAUAUCCAGGAUUUAAUAGUAAAUGACUGUCAAGAGAAAAUAAUUAUUUUAUUGUUUGCAAGACUGAAACCACAGUGGAUGCUAACACCAGGCUUCAAAAUGUAAUGAUCUCUGUUCACUCUCCUAAUAAAUAAUUUUCCUCAUUUAGCCUGCCCCAUGAAACAGCUCUGACUUGUUGGAUUCCAUGAAUGUGCUGAUGAAUGUUCUCCCAGCUUAAUGACUGCCUGUAACCUUGCUGCUCCCUCAACCAGUUGUUUAUUACUGGCAGCAUUUUCCCCCUCUAGGAGAUUGUUUAUCCAACAACCAGGGCACUGCUACUGGAGCAUUUCUAAAAAGAUUAUUCUGCUAAUUAUUCAGGUCAUUAAAUAAAAGGUGAAGCAGGCACCAGCUCUCAGCUUUGAGUUCCCCGAUACAAGAAUGUUCCUGUUACAUAAAACCCCAUAUUUUUUCAUUCUGCAGCACUUAAUCUUUUUGCAGCCUCUGAAGGAAAGUUUCAGCUCCAGGAGGUGUGGUUUGUUUGUGAGAAAUGGAAUUUUUCUUCUUUUUAAUCAAAGAUACAUUCAAUAACCACUGCAUGCUGAAGAUAUUUCUCCUUUUUGCACAACAGUUUGUGUCAUGAGGGGGAAAAAUCAAAAGCAGCUGCCCAGGAAAUACCAAACAGGCAUCAGCAUCGUCCACAGGCAGACACUUCAACUACCCCCUCAAAUACCAGCAGGCUUUUCCUAAAAAAUAUGGAUUUUUCUUCUUCCCUCAUUACCUCAGGGGGCUGUGGAAACAGAGACAGGCUAGAAGUCACCUGUUAGUCAGAUAGAGAGUUUUAGAAGGGAUCAUUAACUCUCAGUCAUUGCUCACCACUUCAUGGAGAAGGGGGAAAAGUCCCUGCAGUGCAGGGCUCAUCCGGAGCUGCUCUGCUUCCUUCACUGGUUUUGGUUUUGCCCACAUCUUCAGAGCUGCACUGCAAGCAGCUGCAAAACUUUAUUAAAGACACAAGGAGGAAAGGCUGAAACAACACUCCAAAGGAGGUGCAUGUAGGUUUGACAGAAGGUGAAAGAGCCAGGUUUGCAGGUGGUAACUGCGCUGUUUUGAGUAGCUGGUCAAAUGUCAUGCCAGUGGCAGGGGACUUCAGAGGGACCUCACUGACCUGGGGAAUGGAGAAGAGGGUGGCAGAUGAGUUUCACUGGAGAUAAAGUAGGUUGUGCAGCUUGGGGAGUGUUUGACUGGCUCUGACAGUUCCAGUUGAAAGCACUUCCUAGGAUUCACUUUGCAAUGGGGUCAAACAGAGGAAAGCUGCGUGCCUUGCUUUACCUAAUAGCAAGGAUAAGGUGAAAACCAGCAAGUUUUACUCCAUCAGAAGGUUCAAUUCAGGACUAAAAACACGAUUCCCACAAAAACAACUUUUGAGAACUCCUUUGGGAAGAUGCUCAGCAGCCAGAUGUCACCCAGUGUGCUGUGGCUCCUUCAGGGACACCAGCCAGCAGCGGGUGCCUGCGGAGCGCUCACUCCAAUGCUGCACUGGCCUGAGUGCUGGCAGCAGCACCAGCACCACUCACAGAGCAAGUGACAGAGACACUGGAGCCCAGACCAUGUGCUGGGGCUGUCUGAGAGGACUAGAAAAACCCAGGUUUCAUUACCUCUGCUGCUCACAGAACAAUUUGUUCACUCAAAAUGUGCUGCUGGGAGCAAGUCCCUUCUGGAGAGGCACUGAGGCAAGCACAUGACAGUUGUCCUUAUCAGCACAUCUCUUGCUGUCUGAUCUGAGCCUAAUGAGACCCAUUGCUCUUUAAAUCACUCUGUCUUGUCACUAAUUCCAUUUCCAGCCCUACAAUUGCUAAAUAUCCCUUCAUGCACAUAUUUAUUUGCUCCACAGUUACUAUGAGGCUAAUAACCCAUAAUGCAGUUUGCCCAGUCUCUGAGCUCAGCUUUGCAAAUUCAUCAACGAUGUUUGCAAUUAAAGAGUAUAAGUAAAAGGCCAUUUAAAGUCAAUAACAGAAGGUAAAAAGUAAGUUAUGGCUUCCUAAGGUCUCUCAGCAUCUGCAACUCCCUUGUUUGCCAAUGGAAAGCAAGGGUCAGGGUUUUAAACAUGCUGCCUCUGACCUGGGAGAAGGGCUUUGCCACAGGGCCGAGUGUUUCAUGACAAAAGCCCUGUCUACCAGAAGUGAUGUAUUUGGGGAAGGGUAGGAUCAACUGCACUUUCCAUUUUCUAGAUGUUUCGGCCAAUGUUACUGUUUGUAACUGUAAGAAAGGAUUCAGAAAAUAACUAGUUGUGUUUAAAAAAGGCCUUGAGGAUAUAUCCAAAGUAUGAAGACAAGAAAUGUCAUGCCGAGAAGUAUAAGAUUUCUAUUU